rnacentral:rRNA from 1 species
GACGAACGCUGGCGGCGUGCUUAACACAUGCAAGUCGAACGGAAAGGCCCUGCUUUUGUGGGGUGCUCGAGUGGCGAACGGGUGAGUAACACGUGAGUAACCUGCCCUUGACUUUGGGAUAACUUCAGGAAACUGGGGCUAAUACCGGAUAGGAGCUCCUGCUGCAUGGUGGGGGUUGGAAAGUUUCGGCGGUUGGGGAUGGACUCGCGGCUUAUCAGCUUGUUGGUGGGGUAGUGGCUUACCAAGGCUUUGACGGGUAGCCGGCCUGAGAGGGUGACCGGCCACAUUGGGACUGAGAUACGGCCCAGACUCCUACGGGAGGCAGCAGUGGGGAAUAUUGCACAAUGGGCGGAAGCCUGAUGCAGCAACGCCGCGUGCGGGAUGACGGCCUUCGGGUUGUAAACCGCUUUCGCCUGUGACGAAGCGUGAGUGACGGUAAUGGGUAAAGAAGCACCGGCUAACUACGUGCCAGCAGCCGCGGUGAUACGUAGGGUGCGAGCGUUGUCCGGAUUUAUUGGGCGUAAAGGGCUCGUAGGUGGUUGAUCGCGUCGGAAGUGUAAUCUUGGGGCUUAACCCUGAGCGUGCUUUCGAUACGGGUUGACUUGAGGAAGGUAGGGGAGAAUGGAAUCCCUGGUGGAGCGGUGGAAUGCGCAGAUAUCAGGAGGAACACCAGUGGCGAAGGCGGUUCUCUGGGCCUUUCCUGACGCUGAGGAGCGAAAGCGUGGGGAGCGAACAGGCUUAGAUACCCUGGUAGUCCACGCUGUAAACGGUGGGUACUAGGUGUGGGGUCCAUUCCACGGGUUCCGUGCCGUAGCUAACGCUUUAAGUACCCCGCCUGGGGAGUACGGCCGCAAGGCUAAAACUCAAAGGAAUUGACGGGGCCCCGCACAAGCGGCGGAGCAUGCGGAUUAAUUCGAUGCAACGCGUAGAACCUUACCUGGGUUUGACAUGGAUCGGGAGUGCUCAGAGAUGGGUGUGCCUCUUUUGGGGUCGGUUCACAGGUGGUGCAUGGCUGUCGUCAGCUCGUGUCGUGAGAUGUUGGGUUAAGUCCCGCAACGAGCGCAACCCUUGUUCACUGUUGCCAGCACGUUAUGGUGGGGACUCAGUGGAGACCGCCGGGGUCAACUCGGAGGAAGGUGGGGAUGACGUCAAGUCAUCAUGCCCCUUAUGUCCAGGGCUUCACGCAUGCUACAAUGGCUGGUACAGAGAGUGGCGAGCCUGUGAGGGUGAGCGAAUCUCGGAAAGCCGGUCUCAGUUCGGAUUGGGGUCUGCAACUCGACCUCAUGAAGUCGUAGUCGCUAGUAAUCGCAGAUCAGCAACGCUGCGGUGAGUACGUUCCCGGGGC